AUUGAACGCUGGCGGCAUGCUUUACACAUGCAAGUCGGACGGCAGCACAGCGAAGCUUGCUUCUUGGGUGGCGAGUGGCGAACGGGUGAGUAAUAUAUCGGAACGUACCGAGUAAUGGGGGAUAACUAAUCGAAAGAUUAGCUAAUACCGCAUAUUCUCUGAGGAGGAAAGCAGGGGACCUUCGGGCCUUGCGUUAUUCGAGCGGCCGAUAUCUGAUUAGCUAGUUGGUGGGGUAAAGGCCUACCAAGGCGACGAUCAGUAGCGGGUCUGAGAGGAUGAUCCGCCACACUGGGACUGAGACACGGCCCAGACUCCUACGGGAGGCAGCAGUGGGGAAUUUUGGACAAUGGGCGCAAGCCUGAUCCAGCCAUGCCGCGUGUCUGAAGAAGGCCUUCGGGUUGUAAAGGACUUUUGUCAGGGAAGAAAAGGCUGUUGCUAAUAUCGACAGCUGAUGACGGUACCUGAAGAAUAAGCACCGGCUAACUACGUG
rnacentral:rRNA from 1 species